rnacentral:rRNA from 1 species
UACGUAGGUGGCGAGCGUUAUCCGGAUUUAUUGGGCGUAAAGCGUCCGCAGCCGGUUUAUUAAGUCUAAGAUUAAAGCCCGAAGCUUAACUUCGGUUCGUUUUAGAAACUGGUAGACUCGAGUGUGGUAGAGGCAAGUGGAACUUCUAGUGUAGCGGUAAAAUGCGUAGAUAUUAGAAAGAACACCAGUGGCGAAGGCGACUUGCUGGGCCAUCACUGACGGUCAGGGACGAAAGCGUGGGGAGCAAAUAG